UAUUGCGCAAUGGGGGAAACCCUGACGCAGCGACGCCGCGUGUAGGAAGAAGGCCUUCGGGUCGUAAACUACUGUCAAGAGGGAAGAAACUGUUAAAGUCUAAUAAACUUUUUCACUGACGGUACCUCUAGAGGAAGCACCGGCUAACUCCGUGCCAGCAGCCGCGGUAAUACGGAGGGUGCGAGCGUUAAUCGGAAUCACUGGGCGUAAAGCGUGCGUAGGCGGCGUGGCAAGUCAGACGUGAAAGCCCUCGGCUCAACCGAGGAAUUGCGUUUGAAACUGCCAUGCUUGAGUCUCGGAGAGGUUGGCGGAAUUCCAGGUGUAGGAGUGAAAUCCGUAGAUAUCUGGAGGAACACCGGUGGCGAAGGCGGCCAACUGGACGAGUACUGACGCUGAGGUACGAAAGCGUGGGGAGCAAACAGGAUUAGAUACCCUGGUAGUCCACGCUGUAAACGAUGGAUAUUAGGUGUCGGGGUUUUACCUCGGUGCCGCAGUUAACGCGUUAAAUAUCCCGCCUGGGGAGUACGGUCGCAAGGCUGAAACUA
rnacentral:rRNA from 1 species